GGCCGCAGUAUUUUGACUGUGCAAAGGUAGCAUAAUCAUUAGUCUUUUAAUUAAGGGCUGGUAUGAAUGGUUGGACGAAGUAAAUACUGUUUUAUAUUAAUUGUAAUUGAAUUUAGUAUUUAAGUAAAAAUACUUAAAUAAUUUUAAGGGACGAGAAGACCCUAUAGAGUUUAAUAUUUAUAGUUUUAAUUGAGUUAAAGUGUAAUUUUUGGUUAAUUAUGAAGAAUAUUUGAUUGGGGUGAUAAGAAGAUAAAUUUAACUCUUUUUUGUAGUAAAUAAUUUGUUUAGUUAAAUGAUCCGUUAUUUAGUGAUUAUAAGAUUAAAUUACCUUAGGGAUAACAGCAUAA
rnacentral:rRNA from 1 species